rnacentral:rRNA from 1 species
GACGAACGCUGGCGGCGUGCUUAACACAUGCAAGUCGAACGCUGAAGCACCAGCUUGCUGGUGUGGAUGAGUGGCGAACGGGUGAGUAAUACGUGAGUAACCUGCCCUUGACUCUGGGAUAAGCCCGGGAAACUGGGUCUAAUACUGGAUGCUACAUGUCACCGCAUGGUGGUGUGUGGAAAGGGUUUACUGGUCUUGGAUGGGCUCACGGCCUAUCAGCUUUUUGGUGAGGUAAUGGCUCACCAAGGCGACGACGGGUAGCCGGCCUGAGAGGGUGACCGGCCACACUGGGACUGAGACACGGCCCAGACUCCUACGGGAGGCAGCAGUGGGGAAUAUUGCACAAUGGGCGAAAGCCUGAUGCAGCGGCGCCGCGUGAGGGAUGACGGCCUUCGGGUUGUAAACCUCUUUCAGCAGGGAAGAAGCCACAAGUGACGGUACCUGCAGAAGAAGCGCCGGCUAACUACGUG